GUGGAUCUCCCCCACUUACACUACACCGUUGAAUUCAUCACUUAAAUCAAAACCAUUUUUGUUUUAAAAAACAUUUUUAACCUUCGUUAAAAAAACCAAAAAAAACUCUAAGACAUUCUCUCAUUUUCCCCUGUUCAACAGCAUCACAGAGCACGCCGAAGGGAGAAUAGAGGUGAUUCCUUUGGGCCUGAUCUUGACGAAGGAGGAAUCUCCAGCGUCUUCGCGACCGCCAGGAAUCAGGUAAGGAGGCCGUGGUGCUGCAGACGUGGCGAGGCCGUUCGUGGGGUGUGAUACGAAGGCUUUCCAGAAGCUUCACUGUUUGGGCUCUAUCUGCCUUGAAAUCGGACAGUUGGAGGGCGUUGUGAAGGUCACUGGUGGCUACUUGCGGUGCGAGGAGAGUUGGCUAGGGUUCCAAUUUCUGGCACAGAAAAUCUGGGCCAUUUGGGCUAAUUUUGGGAUUGGCCUAUUGGGGAAUUAAUUUUUUGGGUAUUGGGUUAGAUUUAAUUUAGGUUUGGCCCUUAUUGUAAAAUGAGUUUAAAAUUUGAGCUUCAAUUGUAUGUGGGUUAAAUGUAAAUUUGGACUAUGGACAUUUAUUGGAUUUUUAUUAUGUUUUUAUUA